rnacentral:rRNA from 1 species
CCUACGGGAGGCAGCAGUGGGGAAUAUUGGGCAAUGGGCGCAAGCCUGACCCAGCAACGCCGCGUGAAGGAAGAAGGCUUUCGGGUUGUAAACUUCUUUUGUCAGGGACGAAGCAAGUGACGGUACCUGACGAAUAAGCCACGGCUAACUACGUGCCAGCAGCCGCGGUAAUACGUAGGUGGCAAGCGUUAUCCGGAUUUACUGGGUGUAAAGGGCGUGUAGGCGGGGAAGCAAGUCAGAUGUGAAAACCACGGGCUCAACCUGUGGCCUGCAUUUGAAACUGUUUUUCUUGAGUGCUGGGGAGGCAAUCGGAAUUCCGUGUGUAGCGGUGAAAUGCGUAGAUAUACGGAGGAACACCAGUGGCGAAGGCGGAUUGCUGGACAGUAACUGACGCUGAGGCGCGAAAGCGUGGGGAGCAAACAGGAUUAGAUACCCUUGUAGUC